CGGGUUUGUCCCUCAGAGUUAGGCCUGUGGACGGGUUUGUCCCUCAGAGUUAGGCCUGUGGACGGGUUUGUCCCUCAGAGUUAGGCCUGUGGACGGGUUUGUCCCUCAGAGUUAGGCCUGUGGACGGGUUUGUCCCUCAGACUUUGGAAAGUGAUACAUUCCAUUCAUCCAAUAGUGACAGGAGCUGGAGAACCAAAACAACGACAAAGUAAUCAAGAUCCAGAGAGACAGGCCUUCUCUGGUUGGUUGUCCUGCCUCCUGUCCUGAGAGCAGAGUCCCUGGACUGGUCCAGAGACAGGCCUUCUCUGGUUGGUUGUCCUGCCUCCUGUCCUGAGAGCAGAGUCCCUGGACUGGUCCAGAGACAGGCCUUCUCUGGUUGGUUGUCCUGCCUCCUGUCCUGAGAGCAGAGUCCCUGGACUGAUCCAGAGACAGGCCUUCUCUGGUUGGUUGUCCUGCCUCCUGUCCUGAGAGCAGAGUCCCUGGACUGAUCCAGAGACAGGCCUUCUCUGGUUGGUUGUUCUGCCUCCUGCCCUGAGAGCAGAGUCCCUGGACUGAUCCAGAGACAGGCCUUCUCUGGUUGGUUGUCCUGCCUCCUGUCCUGAGAGCAGAGUCCCUGGACUGAUCCAGAGACAGGCCUUCUCUGGUUGGUUGUCCUGCCUCCUGUCCUGAGAGCAGAGUCCCUGGACUGGUCCAGAGACAGGCCUUCUCUGGUUGGUUGUUCUGCCUCCUGUCCUGAGAGCAGAGUCCCUGGACUGAUCCAGAGACAGGCCUUCUCUGGUUGGUUGUCCUGCCUCCUGUCCUGAGAGCAGAGUCCCUGGACUGUUCCAGAGACAGGCCUUCUCUGGUUGGUUGUCCUGCCUCCUGUCCUGAGAGCAGAGUCCCUGGACUGAUCCAGAGAGUGUGGACACUGCCAGCCAGGGGGAUGCCCUAUCGCGUGCCACCUCAACCCUCAAUAAACUGAUCUUAUCAGUUCCAGGGUAGUGGAGCCACGUGCAGCACGCAAGUCCAGGGCAUCAUUACCCCGUGGCACCACUACUCUGCCAGUCUUAUGAGCAUGGCGGCCAUCUUGAUGACUGGCAUACCUGGUUUACAACCUGUUUUAUAUCUGUCAUUACCACUUAUUGACUUCCAUAUUCUGGGGAAUGUUCUGUUACGCUCUUUUAAUCCCUCCCUGUCUGUCUGCCGCUCUCUCUGUCUUUCAGUUCAAUUCAAGGGGCUUUAUUGGCAGGGAAACAUAUAUUUACAUUGUCAAAGCAAGUCAAAUGGAUAAAGAAAAGUGAAAUAAACAAUAAAAAGUGAACAGUAAAUAUUACACUCACAUUUCAAAUGUCAUAUUAUGUCUAUAUACAGUCUUUCUGUCUCUCUGUUCCCCUCUCUCGCUCUCUCUAUCUAUCUAUUUCUCUCGCUCUCUCAGUCCCUCUCCCCUGGCUCUAUAGUAUCACAACAGUGUGGAAGUGGGGGAACGUGUGUGUGUUUGUAUCAUUCCAUUGGGCAGAAGCUGGCCUAGGAUCCCUCUGAUUGCUGGUUAUCUUCAGAUGGAAGCUUUAAUCACACAGGAGGACAUCAGUGUGUGGAAACUCCCUUAAAGUUAGGACUCUUACCAUUACUAAGGGGAGGUCCCAAUCACACACACACACACACACACACACACACACACACACACACACACACACACACACACACACACACACACACAUGCUUAGUGUUUGUCUCUAAACAUGGCUGCUAUAGAAAGGCCGUCCUGCAUUGCAGAAGUGUCUAGGGGAGUGUUAGAGGGGGAGUGUUAGAGGGGGAUUAUUAGAGGGGGAGUGUUAGAGGGGGAUUAUUAGAGGGGGAUUAUUAGAGGGGGAUUAUUAGAGGGGGAGUGUUAGAGGGGGAGUGUUAGAGGGGGAUUAUUAGAGGGGGAGUGUUAGAGGGGGAGUGUUAGAGGGAGUGUUAGAGGGGGAGUGUUAGAGGGGGAUUAUUAGAGGGGGAUUAUUAGAGGGGGAUUGUUAGAGGGGGAGUGUUAGAGGGGGAUUAUUUUACCCUGUUCUAGAACACACAUGUGACAAUCAGAUAUGGUAAAGAAAACACAGUGAUGUGAUUUAGUAAUUAUUUCUGGGACUAUUAGUCUCUGGAGUCUCUGGUGUUUGUUCUAGCCAAGCUGGCUGGGAGUCUGACACCCCCCCUUAACCAAAAUGAGAACCGGGUCUGUGGGUGCGUCCCAAAUGGUAUCGUAUUCCCUACAUAGAGCCCUAUAGGCCCUGGUCUAAAGUAGUGCACUAUGUAGGGAGUAGGGGUGUCAUUUGGGACGCUGACUGUGUGUGAGGUAGAGCUGUUCUCUUCUGCUUUCUCCAUCUACCCUCCGUUAUAAACCUCCCUAAACAACGACUGACUGGAUGGAUGGACAGAGAGAGAGAGAGACAGAGAAAGAGAGAUACAGAGAGAGAGAGAUACAGAGAGAGAGAGAGAGAGAGAGAGAGAGAGAGAGACAGAGAGAGAGACAGAGACACAGAAAGAGAGAGAGAGAGAGACAGAGACACACAGAGAGAGAGAGAGAGAGACAUAGAGAGAGACAUAGAGAGAGAGACUACACUGUAUAUAUAGACAUAAUGACAUUUGAAAUGUCUUUAUUUAUUUGGAACUUGUGUGAGUGUAAUAUUUACUGUUAACUUUUUAUUGUUUAUUUCACUUUUAUUUAUCCAUUUCACUUGCUUUGGCAAUGUUAACAUAUGUUUCCCAUGCCAAUAAAGCCCCUUGAAUGGAAUUGAAUUGAGAGAGAGUGUAUUUUAUUUACAGCCACUAGUUUCAGUUCAGCUCCCCAUUUCAGUGUUUGUUAAUAAAGAUCAAGCAGUCACCUUCCUGUUAGUGAGGGAGUUGUCAUGGAAACAGUUGUAUAUUACCUGGGGAAAUUCUAAAAGCCAUGAAGUUGUCCUAUAAAGUAUGUCUGUCCUGUACUGUGUCUGAUUCAAAACUGCUGUCCUGUCCUAGUCCCCAUCUUUACCCUUUCUAGGGUUCCUAUGUAGGGUGGUUCAUGUCUGUUAUCUUCUAUGGGCUACGUGGGACGCUAGCGUCCCACCCACGGUUCACACUAUUCAACAGCCAGUGAAAAAUCAGAGCGCCAAAUUCGAAAACAACAAAAUGCCAUAAUUCAAAUUUCUCAAACAUACAACUAUUUUACACCAUUUUAUAGAUAAACAUCUCCUGAAUCCAACCACGUUGUCCGAUUUCAAAACGGCUUUACGGCGAAAGCAUAAAGUUAGAUUAUGUUAGGACAGUACAUAGACAAAAAAUUACACACAGCCAUUUUCAAUGCAAGGACAAGCGUCACCAAAAGCAGAAAACCAGCAAAAAUUAUGCACUAACCUUUGACAAUCUUCAUCAGAUGACACUCCUCGGACAUUAUGUUAGAACAAAAAAUGCAUGUAUUGUCUAUCAAGUUCAUAUUUAUAUCCAAAAACAGCAUUUUACAUUGGCGCGUGAUGUUCAGAAAAUAUCUUUCCUCCGAAACUGCCGGUGAAUCAGCACAACAAAUUACAAAAUGACUCAUUAUAAACGUUGAUAAAAUAUUAAACUGUUAUUCAAAGAAUUAUAGAUUAACAUCUCCUGAAUGCAAUCGCGUUGACAGAUUUCAAAAUAACUUUACUGGGAGAGCACACUUUGCAAUAAUCUGAGUACUGCGCUCAGAAAAAAACAGCAGGCAAUUAUAGACACCGGCCGUCUUGGAGUCAUCUAAACGCAUAAAUAGCAUAAGAAGUAUUCACUUACCUUUAAUAAUCUUCAUCAGAAGGCACUUCCAGGAUUCCCAGGUCCACAAUAAAUGUUGUUUUGUUCGAUAAAGUUCAUAAUUUAUGUCCAAAUAACUCCAUGUUGUUUGCGCGUUCAGUAGGCUACUCAAAAUGUAGGGCGCGCGAGAAAACCUUCACGACGAAAGUAAAAAAAAGUACUAUUUACGUUCGUUCAAACAUGUCAAACGUUGUAUAGCAUCAAUCUUUAGGGCCAUUUUAAGUUCAAACUUCAAUACGUUCCAACCGGACCCAUGCAUUGUCUUGAAAAAUGUUUUGGAACGCAGGUAUCUGCUAACGUGAUGAACUGAAGUGUUUUUCUGGUCACCUGCUUACCAGCGUUCUCCUUCGGUCUGUGUUUACCGCAAAAGGCUCAAACAACUUUCUAAGACUGUUGACAUCUAGUGGAAUCCUUAGGAAGUGCUAUUUGAGUCCUAACUCACUGUGUGUCAGAAAGGCAAGGACUUGAGAAAACUACAGGAACCAGAAUUUCAUUUCCUGGUUGGAUUUCUCUCAGGUUUUUGCCUGCCAUAUGAGUUCUGUUAUACUCACAGACACCAUUCAAACAGUUUUGGAAACUUUAGACUGUUUUCUAUCCAAAUCUACUAAUCAUUUGCAAACAUUUGACUCUGGGCCAGAGUAUUAGGCCGUUUACUCUGGGCACGCUUUUCAUCCAAAACUGAAAAUACUGCCCCCUAGCCCUAAAAGGAUUUAUCCUAACUAGGGUUCCUAUGUAGGGUGGUUCAUCAUGUCUGUUAUCCUAACUAGGGUUCCUAUGUAGGGUGGUUCAUCAUGUCUGUUAUCCUAACUAGGGUUCCUAUGUAGGGUGGUUCAUCAUGU
rnacentral:lncRNA from 1 species